UACGGAGGGUGCAAGCGUUAUCCGGAUUCACUGGGUUUAAAGGGUGCGUAGGUGGGUCUGUAAGUCAGUGGUGAAAUCUCCAAGCUUAACUUGGAACUGCCGUUGAUACUAUAGACCUUGAAUGCUGUGGAGGUGAGCGGAAUAUGUCAUGUAGCGGUGAAAUGCUUAGAUAUGACAUAGAACACCAAAUUGCGAAGGCAGCUCACUACCCAGAUAUUGACACUGAGGCACGAAAGCGUGGGGAUCAAACAGG
rnacentral:rRNA from 1 species